rnacentral:tRNA from 1 species
GGCCUUGAGCAGGUUCCAGGGCAGCGGAUUUUGAUUCCGCCAUACGGAGGUUCGAUCCCUCCCCGGU